UGAGCAAUCUGCCCUUCUCAUCGGAAUAAGCGUUGGAAACGACGUCUAAUGCCGAAUACGACCUCCUUUCGCAUGAUCGGAGGUGGAAAGCUCCGGCGGAGAAGGAUGAGCUCGCGGCCUAUCAGCUAGUUGGUGUGGUAAUAGCUCACCAAGGCAACGACGGGUAGCCGGCCUGAGAGGGUGACCGGCCACACUGGGACUGAGACACGGCCCAGACUCCGUAGGAGG
rnacentral:rRNA from 1 species